CAGUCGCCGCGGGAAUACGGGGGGGGCAAGUGUUAUUCGGAAUGACUGGGUGUAAAGGGCACGUAGGCGGACAUUUAAGUCAGGGGUGAAAUCCCGGGGCUCAACCUCGGAACUGCCUUUGAUACUGGGUGUCUUGAGUAUGAGAGAGGUGUGUGGAACUCCGAGUGUAGAGGUGAAAUUCGUAGAUAUUCGGAAGAACACCAGUGGCGAAGGCGACACACUGGCUCAUUACUGACGCUGAGGCGCGAAAGCGUGGGGAGCAAACAGGAUUAGAUACCCCGGUAGUCCCUGUCUCUUAUAC
rnacentral:rRNA from 1 species